CCCUUAGAUGUUCUGGGCCGCACGCGCGCUACACUGACGAAUGCAACGAGCUUAUAACCUUGGCCGAAAGGUCUGGGUAAUCUCCAAAUUUCGUCGUGAUGGGGAUAGAUUAUUGCAAUUAUUAAUCUUCAACGAGGAAUGCCUAGUAAGCGCAAGUCAUCAGCUUGCGUUGAUUACGUCCCUGCCCUUUGUACACACCGCCCGUCGCUCCUACCGAUUGAAUGGUCCGGUGAAGCGCUCGGACCGCGGCCUCUUGACGGUUCGCCGUCUGUUGGCUGCGGGAAGUUCGUUAAACCUUAUCAUUUAGAGGAAGGAGAANUCGUAACA
rnacentral:rRNA from 1 species